UGCAGAAACAGUCCACUUGGA
rnacentral:snRNA from 1 species